CCUAUGGAGAGUACAAGAACUUGUGAGUAGUAUUUGUUUCGACAGUGCAAAAGCAUACUCGUUGAAGUAGGAA
rnacentral:ncRNA from 1 species